rnacentral:lncRNA from 1 species
AAAGGCCUCCAGUCUGCAGUUCCAGCUCCAGGUAAGUGCCCUCUCCUGGGCCUGUCUGCUUGUUGGUGUGACCACAGGGAAGCUUCUGCCUCAUUACAUCAUCUCUGGUUUAUUUAAUUCUGGUGCUGGGUCCCCGAGGAGAUCUCAACAGACCUGAGCUUUACAGGGUUCUCCAGGCCAGUCCCCUUGCCUAUGCAACUUGGGCCGCCCUUGACCACAGUAUCAAGGGGUUGCUGGCUCAGGAGCUAUGGACCAGGGAGGGGGAGAUCUGGGUGUCUAGCACUGGCCUAUCCUGCUCUGCCCUCGGCCCCUGGCUCUCCCUGCCACAGCCCCCUGUGCCUGCUGCAGGAUCCUGGCUGGGAUAUCAUCAUAUACUGUAAGUUUGCGAUGAGAUACUACAGUAUAGAUGAUGUACUAGUCCGGGUACCCCCAGCUCUGGAGCCAGACGAGGAGGGCAGGGGACGCUGCAAACCCACGGGGCUCGCCGCUCAGCCUAUCACAGCCUGCUGACCGCCAAGACACUUGGGAAUGGCGAGGAAACCGUUACCAUUACUGAGUUUAGUAAUGGUAACGGUUCUCUUGCUGCACCCAGAAAACGUGCCAAGAAGAGAGCUCAGGACCCUGGAGCGGAACACUGGAACACUGGAAGGGAGGGAGACUCCAGCUCAGACAACGGGGUGGGGGUGAAGGAACGGGUUAAGUUUUCUCUUUCUUAUUCUAAAGAAAUAAAGAUGAGAACCAGUAUGCUUGUCUUUCAACUUUAUUGGAAUUCGAGACUAGGGGGAGGGAUGGGGCGAGAGGCACUAUCUCACUUAAGACCCAUAAGUCCUUACACAUGGUUUCAAGGUAGAGGAACUGAGGGGAUAAGAAGAAAAAAAAAAAAAAAAAACCUCUCUGCUAACAAGUGGCACCUGAGAGAGAAACUCUGGGUUCAUUGCCAGCUGGAAGCAGUGUGGUACUGUUCCCACCAAAGAACCAACUUCUAGACCUAAGCAGCGGAGGCCCGAGGCAGAGGAACUACCUGAGAACUGAGCUAAGGUCAGUUCCUUCCUCCAACGGGAAAAAUGGCCAGGCAGGGGCUGUGCAGACUCAAGCAAGGUCAAGUUAGUCAGGAAGUGUCCAUGCCCCUUACCAGUCCCUGCAGGGUCUGAGCAGGAACCAUUCUGGUCAGUGGCUCCUGCCAGCAGCUUUGAUGCCUUGGGAGAGGCAGCAGAGUGGUCACUUGAGAAGCUUCACAGAGAGGCGGAGCCGAACAUCGCAGAGGAAGAUGUCCAUGAGGUCGCGGCCCACCUCCUGUGCAAUCUGGGAGAUCAAGUGCCCCUUUGGACCAAUGAGGAUCUUCUGAGGGUGGAGCAAAAGAGAGGGCCAUGAGGCUGCUCUCGGGGCUCUAAGUGCUAGAGGAGAACCCCUGCUAAUAGACCCCUAGUCCCUUCUCCAAGCUUAAUCCAGCUUACCACAUGAGAUUCUUUGGGCACCAGAAGCUUCUGUUCGAUCACCAGCUCCCCGCUUGGCCCUUCCUCCCACACCACUGUCCUCUGCACAGGGAGAUACCAUGAUUAGUCAGACAGGCCUAUACCCCUACCUCUCUGGGCCCCAGAUAGCUUAUUCUGGGUAUGUGGCUGGUGAAGAGCCCCUAGACUCCUUCAUUGUGUCUGCACCUGCUGCACAUUGUAGGGUAUCUCCUGGGGCAGGUGCUCUAGUAGCUUCUCUCGGAUGGUGUUGGCACAGAUCUCCUCAGGUGUCUGGCUGGUGAGGACUCCGCUGUGGAACUCCCAGGGUCCUGGCCGGGCCUGUGCCAGGAGGUAUUGCUGUGGGUACAGAGAGGGUACGUGCGGCAGCUCAAUCCCAACCAAGACUUUCCUACCUACUCACUCUUACUUCCGGGAGGAACUAUGAGGCUUGUCUUCAUAUGGUGGAAAUCAAAGGACAGGCUAUGGCCAAGGCCAACUGACCUUUAGUAUUUUCACAUCUUCCUGGCUUAGGGCAGACAACAUGAAGAUCUCCUGGAAGUGGGGCCAGCCAAUCUUCUGAGGGCCUCCCACAGACUGUGAGUUUGGGCCCUUAGCUGCGGGGCCCGGGCAAUGAGUGCCGGCCUGUGAGCGAACAGCCUCCCUCAUCUUGAGCUUCUUGCCAUUGACCACACCUUCAGUGAGGGCUGCUGUGAGCUCCAGGAGAAUGGACUUCUGCUUCAGGCAAUCUACCUGGGCAUGGGGGAUGGGCAGAGAGUGGGGAGGUAGUGAGAUGGGCACCUGGGAGGAAAGGAGACCCCUCCUUCUGGUAGGUGGUGCUCACCUUGUUCAUGACAAGGAUGCUAGGGACUUGGGAGAACUGGGUCAGGCACUGGAGCACUUGGGGGCUGAGCUGGUUCCGAGUCCAUUUGUCUGAGACGUCCACAAGAACCACAACUGGAAGUUGGCAGGGUGGGGAGGAGGACAAAGAUAUGACCACUCUUUCUUCACCCCCCAAAAAGAUCCAUGAUAUGGGCUCUGGCCAACCCCCAUCCCCCAAACUACCAGGAAUGAGAGAGGCCAUGACCAUGUAAAUUGGGCUUCAGAUUCCCAUCAUGAGUCUAACCCAUAUCAGCAGAUUCCAUGCUCUUCCACGGAUCUUCCAACAAAGAAAGCUCCAGAUGGUGCCUGAGGGACAAACAUAGGUAAGGAAGGGUUUUAUGACUGAUGUACUCCUGAUGAGGAAGAGGGUAUAAGGGGGUUUUCCAGUCCCUAUGACAGAAUCUCCCCGCCCUCUCCUCAACACCUUUCCCUCUACAUACCCAUUUCCACAGCUAUUACCUUUUCUGUUUAACAGGGCUGAUGAGACCAGGUGUGUCAAGUAGAAUCUAAAAUCAGGAAAGAGAGAUGCCCAGCCCCCCAGAUGGAACACUUAUGACUGGUGAGCGAGAGAAAGGCCAUCCUUGAUGUCAGGAGCCUGCCCCCACUCUUGGCCAAGCUGACUUUAGAUUUUCACCCUCCAGCUUUGUUUUGGUUCUAGAUGGGAUCCAAGAGAAAGAUGAUGACUGUGAAUAUGUGGAAGAUUAGAAAGGAGUGAAGAGGGAAUGAGAUCUUUCUGACUAGAUGCCAGAGGUGGAAGGUAGAGAGAGAACUGCAUGAGGCCUAAUGGCCCUUCCCUCAGAGAAAUGAACCUAAACAUCGUUUUCUUCAUGUCUAACUGUAAGGGGGACCCUCUUAGGUUCACCCUCUGUCCUAUUUGCUGGACUCCCUUUGCAGGUACCCACCACCUGAGCUUCCUUCUCUGUGAUGAUCCCCAGAGCUUGGCAACGAGUGGUGUGCACCUUCUUGGAGACAGGGAACACCUGCCAGAAACAAAGAAGUCCCAAGUGAAAUCCCAGAUCCCUCUAGAACAAUCCAUAAACAGAAAAGAAGUGAGAGAUGAAAAGGGGGUUAAAGAUCGAGCAUACUUUUCGGCCCAGCAGCUGGUUGGAGAGUGUUGACUUCCCUGCAUUCGGAGCACCCAGGAGGACCACUCGUAGGACGCGGGGAUUCUCGGGCAUAUCAGGACGAUGGACCAAGAGGAGAUCCUGUUCAUCUGUGUGGGGGGGUAGGAGGGGAGUGAGAGGUAAUGCAAUAUGGAUCCUGUCAGGUACUCAGUCCUACCCACCCACAGAGGAAGUAAAGAAUAUAAGAUUAGUGUACCAUGUUGAAGCUGAGACCUGGCUUUGAGAUUUAGUUUGCCCGUUAAUUUGUUUAUGUAAUUUUAUUAAGUUCUCUAACUUCUCUAAGCCCCUUAGUUUUCUCACAUGUAAAAUGGAGAUAAUAUUAAACAACACCUACUUAUAACCUUCUUUUGAUGGGGCACCUGGGUGGCUCAGUCAGUUAAGAGCCCGACUCUUGGUUUCAGCUCAUGAUCUCACAGUUCGUGAGUUCAAGCCCUGUCAGGCUCUACAUUGACAGUGCAAAGCCUGCUUGGGAUUCUUUCUCUCUCCUUUCUCUGUCCCUCCCCUGCUUGCUCUCUCUCUCAAAAUAAAUAAACAUAAAAAAAAAAAAAAAACCGGGGCGCCUGGGUGGCGCAGUCGGUUAAGCGUCCGACUUCAGCCAGGUCACGAUCUCGCGGUCCGUGAGUUCGAGCCCCGCGUCGGGCUCUGGGCUGAUGGCUCGGAGCCUGGAGCCUGUUUCCGAUUCUGUGUCUCCCUCUCUCUCUGCCCCUCCCCCGUUCAUGCUCUGUCUCUCUCUGUCCCAAAAAUAAAUAAACGUUGAAAAAAAAAUUAAAAAAAAAAAAAACCAACUUUGGGGCACCUGGGUGGCUGUCAGUUAAGCAUCUGACUCUUGAUUUUGGCUCAGGACAUGAUCUCACCGUCUGUGAGUUCAAGUCCAGCAUCGGGCUCUGCACGGACGGCAUGGAGCCUGCUUAGGUUUCUGUCUCCCUCUUUCUCAAAAUAAAUAAGUAAACUUAAAAAAAAAUAACCUUCUUUUGGCAAUUGUGUAAAAACAAUCAGCACAAUGCCUGGCACUUAAUAUUCAAUUACUGUGUGGAACUGUACUGUAGUUGUGCCUGGUAAAUCUAUGUACAUGUAUGAAAGUACAUCGAGAUCAGAUAAAGCGAGAAAUCCCUCCAGCUCUGACAGUCUCACCUUAUUAAGGGUGUUAUGAAGGCUCUGCAAGCUUUCUCAGUAUUUCUAAGUAGGAGUCCCUUGUGCAUUACAAUUACCAGUUUUUGUAUCCAGACUCCCCACCAGACUGUAGUCUAUGCUACUUGAAGAUCAGAGAGUGCUGUUUCCUGGGUGUAACUCAGUCUCUUGACAAGUAGAUGGGCACUAAUCAGAUCGAGUUUGCUUCCCAAAUCCGGGCAGAGAGCCACAAAUGUGCUUUGCCCAUGGCCCUUCAAUCUCCUGCUUUUUGUAAGCGUCUCUGAUUGUGAUCCUCUGGCUCCAAAAGUUUUAGAACCUGGUAUUUCUCUCCUGUGAGAUCCUUCACGGCUCGCCUCUCUUUAGGGACCUCGAGAUCGUUUUCCAUAAUAUAAGACCAAAGAUGAUAUCCCCAGAGAGUUUCCCUGACCCGGAACUUUAAAUGCUAAAACUGUGACAGUCCGUGACAAGCUAUCUGGGCCCUUUACCUCUGUGUAUGGACACGGCGGGAGGAUGAGAAGUCAACGAACUGUCUGGCUGAGAGAGUCCGAGGAAGCGGUCCAAGGCUGAGCUCUGGCCAUAACGGCGAGAGGCGGAGGCCAGACGGGGACCAGAGAAGGCGGCGCCCGCGAAACAAGACACGCACCUCCGCUGACAGUCCAAGAGCGAGGAGAGGCCGGUCACCCACCCCCUCGCGGCGUCUGGGCCCAACUGCCGGACCCCUAACACCGCCCGAAAUAACAUAGCAGCGCGCCGCCCGGGAGCAGCCAUUACAGCCGCAAGGCACUCCGGGAACUGGCCAGAAACGCACCUAAGAGUGAAUAGAGCAGUGGAAAAGCGAGCACGAGAGAGCUAGAUUGGCCCAGAGAGCGGAGACGCACGGGAUGCUGGAGGUGGGCUGAAGGAGAAACUGCUUUGGAGACUGACCGAAGCUAAGGAAAAUCUGUAUUUAGAGUUUGUGUAAACAUGAUGAUUGUUUUGGACUCCUAUACACAGGCUGCUUUCUUCUUCUCCUGCCAAAGUUUUGUAAAAGGUUCUUCUAGCCCUGCCUCCUGGGCGACUACAUCUCCCAUGAGGCCUAGAGACAGAAAUCGUUCUCUUAGCGCAAAACUUCUCGCGGCUGGAGAAACUGACGCAUCUAAGGAGGCAAGGUCGUGGAAGCCGGAGCGGGUGCUGUUCCGCUGUCCCCCUAAGGGCCUUUUUAGUUUUCUCUAGCCUCAGGCUUGCAGGAUCCUCUCCCAGUGCCACCCCUGACUUGGUCUAGCGGUCGGCAGCGGCCUCCACUGCCACCCAAGGAGUAGUCAGUCCGUAGGUCUGUGUUUCCGAGGAGCAGCAGACGCGAUUUCCCUUCUGUAAACCUCCAUUACUAUCUCAUCUCAGAGACCAUUCCUUUCUGGAGAAAAAACAGAGGGUCUGUAAAGGGAGAAGCUGCUUAGUCACCUACAAUUCCCCAGAUUGACUCAGCGGCCUGCAAAACUUGGUAUAUCUUAGCUGUUUGUGGCCUUAAGCCUUAUUCAUCCUUUGGAGCCUCUGGAUUAAACUCUUGAAAUUGAAGAGAGAGAGAGAGAGAGAGAGAGAGAGAGAGAGAGAGAGAGAUGUUGGCAGGGAUUGGGGGAAUGGCGAUUUACUCAGCAUAUGCUAUGUACAGGCCAUGUCCAGGUGCUGGGGAUACAUGAAUGAAGAAAAUGGACAAAAGCUUAUCACAGGACUUGUGUCCUGGGGACUGUGGUGGGAGGGUGGUGAGGGAGAGAGAGAGAGACAUUUGUUAGUGACCUGACAGGAACUGUUUAGUAUCGUGGUCUGGGUGAAAACCUAAAUAGAGUGUAUUUAAGAGAGAAUGAGAGGUGGGGGCCUCUGGCUGGUUUAGUAAGUAGAGUGUGUGGCUCUUGGUAUCAGGCUUGUGAGUUUGAACCCCAGGUUGGGUUGGGCCAGAGUUUUAUUUAUGUUUUUAAUGUUUAUUUAUUUACUAUUUUUGAGAGAGAGAGAGAGUGUGUGUGAGCAAGAGUGGGGGAAGGGUAAAGGGGUGGGGAGCGAGAAUCCUAAGCAGGCUCCGUGUUGUCCGUGCAGAGCCUGAUGCGGUGCUCGAACUCACAAAUUGUGAGAUCAUGACCUAAGCUGAAAUCAAGCUUCCCGAUGGUUAAUGGAUGCUUAACUGACUGAGCCACCCAGGCACCCCAGGCUGUAGAGCUUUAAAAAAAAAGAUAUAAGAUCUUUCUGAGGGAGCAGAGCAAAAGGGAAUGGUAAUAGAAAGGGGGGAGAGAGAAGUGGAGUUAAAGGCUUUUUUUUUUUUAAACAAUUUUUUUUUUAACAUUUGUUCAUUUUUUUUUUAAUUUUUUUUUCAACGUUUAUUUAUUUUUGGGACAGAGAGAGACAGAGCAUGAACAGGGGAGGGGCAGAGAGAGAGGGAGACACAGAAUCGGAAACAGGCUCCAGGCUCUGAGCCAUCAGCCCAGAGCCUGACGCGGGGCUCAAACUCACGGACCGCGAGAUCGUGACCUGGCUGAAGUCGGACGCUUAACCGACUGCGCCACCCAGGCGCCCCAACAUUUGUUCAUUUUUGAGAGACAGAGCAUGAGCAGGGAGGGAGCAGAGAGAGAGGGAGACACAGAAUCCAAAGCAGGCUCCAGGCUCUGAGCUGUCAGCACAGAGCCCAACUGCCUGCCUGCCUGCCUGCCCCUGCAGGGCUCGAAGCCACAAACCGAAUCCACAAACCGUGAGAUCAUGACCUGAGGGGAAGUCAGAUGCUUAACGGACUGAGCCACCCAGGCACCCCUAAGGCUUUUCUUUUUUAAGAUCAGAGAUUUUUUGUUUGCUCAUGGCAUUGACAAGGUAGAGAGGAGAAAAUUGAUGAUAUAAGACAGAAAGGAGAGGAUUGUUGGGAGGAUGGUGGAAACCAAAUGACUGGGCUGCUCUUUUGGGAAUGGCAGUGGAGUGUCCAGAGAAGCCCUGAGUGACACAGGAUUGACAGAGACUGGGCAGCCAAAAGCACUGAUGGUUUGCAAAUGGCGCCAGGCUCCAGCUUUCAGGCUGCCUGCUCUGUUAGUGGAAGAAAUAACCUUUCUGGAACACGAUAUUCUGGAUGUUCUUUGGGCACCCAUAUGCCCAAAGAACAAAAUAUCACUAAAUAUAGGACAGCUGGCAAUCAGAAAAAUAUGAAUAUUCUUUCAUCAACAAUAAGGUGAAAUGCCAUUUCAACUGUAAUUAGGGUGAAGGGCAACUUCGGGUUAAGCAGUGGUUGAAGAGUUUAAUUAAAUAAAUGCAAAAUCACCCAAAGAACACAUACUAAGUACUACAGCACUGGCAACAGAUAACACCUUGAAAGAAUCCCUGGGCUAUCAUGAAAACAUAGAGGAAAUAUGUCAGUCAAAGUGCCUUAUUAAUUCUCUUCUUUCCCAGAGAUUUUCCCUCAAAGGAUAUUGCGGGGGAAUUUUGUAUUUUGUGAGAUUAGGAGAGAGGUUAAUCAGAUGAAACAGACUGCCUAGGUUCAUAUGUCAGCUUGCCACUUAUCAGCUGUAUGAAUUUGGACAAGUUAUUUCAACUCUCCAAGCAUCAGUUUCAUCAUCUGUACAAUGAAGAAAAUAAUAACAAACACAUCUUCCUAAUAUCAUGUGUUCAUUUGAGUCUAGGGUUUGGAACAAUGUAGGAUUUAGAAAAGUGUAGGCUCUCAAUAAAUGUCCUUAUCUUAAGGCUAAUUGUUUUACCCCUUCUGGCACCUUGUUACAUGAAUUAUUCUCUUUUCUAUAUAGACAGUUCCUCUCUGUACUAUAUUCCUCUCAUCAGCAUUAAAAAUUUUUUUAAUGUUUAUUUUUAUUUUUGAGACAGAGAGAGACAGAGCAUGAGCAGGGAAGGGGCAGAGAGGGAGACACAGAAUCUGAAGCAGGCUCCAGGCUCUGAGCUGUCAGCAGAGAGCCAGAUGCGGAGCUUGAACUUAUCAACUGCAACAUCAUGACUUGAGCCAAACAAAGUCAGACGCUCAACCGACUGAGCCACCCAGGCGCCACUCCUCUCAUCAGCAUUUAUUUUUAAAAUGCUUAAUCUCAAAAUAAAUAAGUAAAAAUAAAAUAAAAUGCUUAAUCUCAGGUGCCUGAAUGGCUCAGUUAGUUGAGCAUCUGACUUUGGCUCAGGUCAUGAUCUCAUGGUUCAUGAGUUUGAGCCCUGCAUCAGGAUCUGCCCUGAUGACAGCGGGAGCCUGCUUGGAAUAUUCUCUCUCUCUCUCUCUCUCUCUCUCGGAAUAUUCUCUCUCCCUCUCUCUCUGCCCCUUCCCUGCUCGCACUCUUUUUCUCUCUCAAAAGCAAAUAAACAUUUAAAAAUGCCUAAUCUCUUCCAUUUGAAAAGCAAAAACCCCAAACUCCCCUGAUCUGGAAGUCCUUUUUUUUUUUUUUUUUUUCCAACGUUUUUUAUCUUUUUUUUUUAUUUUUGGGACAGAGAGAGACAGAGCAUGAACGGGGGAGGGGCAGAGAGAGAGAGAGGGAGACACAGAAUCGGAAACAGUCUCCAGGCUCUGAGCCAUCAGCCCAGAGCCUGACGCGGGUCUCGAACUCACGGACCGCGAGAUCGUGACCUGGCUGAAGUCGGAUGCUUAACCGACUGCACCACCCAGGCGCCCCUGGAAGUCCUUUUCUAACUAGGUGUCAUUGUAUGUUUCUCACUAAGAUAAUACAGUGAAGAUGGUGGAGAGACACAGAUGGAUUUUAGAGAUUUAAGGAGAUAGCAAUUGAAGGAUGUGAUUAAAACCCCUCCUAUUACAACUAGAUUCAUCCAAUGUCCUUGCAUACAUUGAGCCCUGCUUCUACUCUCAAGGCUGCCAGCACAUUAGCUUUCUUUCCAUCUUUUGAAUAUACCAAGCUCAUUUCUGCCUCAGGGCCUUUAUAUCUGCUAUUCCUGCCUUCUCUGUUCUUCUAGAUUUGGCUUCUGCCCCCUAUUGAGGUCUCAACUUAAAUGGCACCUCCUCAUAGUAUUUAUCACUACCUGCAAUGAUCCUAUUUCAAAGCCUGAAAUGCUCUAUGAGCCUCAUUAAGAGUCUUCACAGUCUCACCAACCUCUCAUGGCCCCAAUCUGAACAAGUCACUCCUUUGCUUCACUGCCCUCAGAAUAAAGUACAAACUAACUUGGCCGUAACUGACUUUGCUGAUCUCAUCUCUCACUUUCUCUCUUUUAAAGUUUAUUUUUUUAGUAAUCCCUACACCCAUCGUGGAGCUUGAACUCACAACCCUUAGAGUAAGAGUUACACACUCUUCCAACUGAGCCAGCCAAGUGCCUCCACCAGUCUCGUCUCUUGUCGUUCCUCUUUUUCAGCUCAACUGAAAAAUUUCCAGUCCCCCAAUUGCCUGGUGGUCUUUCUCACUUCCAGGUCUCCCCAGAGGCUGUUCCUUCCAUGACUGGUUAAAUUGUCUCUUAGGACCCUUUUUUUCCCCUCCUGUGAUAAGGCAGUUUAUAAUAGAGUGAUUGAGCACAAAGAUUGUAUUUCUGGGUUUGAUUCUCAGGUCCAUUAUUUACUGUGUGCCCCAGGGCAAUGCCCCAAGGCAAGUAACUUCUCUCUUCUUCAGUUUCCUCAUCUAUAAAAUGGGGAUAAUCAUAGUACCCUCAUAGGGUUGUUGUGAUGAUUAAAAGAAUUCACAUGUAUAAAGGACUCGGAACAGUGCUUAGCACAUAGUAAAUGUUAUUCAAGUAUUUGAUGUUUUUAUUAUAUGUCCCCUACUAGACUCUAAGCUCUAUGAGGACAAAGAUUCCAGCAGGAGACUGACUGUGGUGAUAGAGUUAGGAAAGUCCAGUUCCCAGAAGAUUCAGGGUCAGCUUUGGCCUUCUUUUUAGUAUUCCAUUCAUCAGAACAUAGUGUCAAUAUCAAUUCUUCCUCUUUUCUGGCUCUGCAAUUCCCCCAUGGUGCCAAAUGUGCUCAUUCCAAAGGGUAAUAUUUUUGCAAGUAAUGACAACUAUUCUAAGUUAGGAGCUAGCCUCUGGAAUUAGUCCUGGGCCCCACCACCCUACUCUUGUCACCAGUUACAUUUUACUGUAUGUAGGUCGAGAGAUGGGAGGCAGUUCAUACACGAGGCAUGCACUUUUGUGUAGAUCUGCUUUUCUAGGGACGGAUUAUGCUAAUCUAUAUACUUUUCCCACAGCAACAUACAGGUAUGUACGUAAAAGUUACAUGCAUCUGAUGAGAAAAAAAUCCUCAAACUCCUAGGUGCUAGAGCGAGUAACCUCAUUUCUUAGUGACUUGAGCAUUCCAUUAUAUGCAUUUUAAAUUAGUAAUCUGUAAUUAGAAAUAUUAGUGACACUCCAGUUUCAGCAUUCUCAAACUUUACUCUAGGGCCUAUUCUUGCUUCUUUCCAAAGAAGGAAAAAAUUUCCUUAGUCUUAGAUUAGGACUUUAAAUAUUCAUAUCAGAUCCUGGGAUCAGGAGUAGCUUUUCUUUCUCCAGAAGUACAGAGAAUUUAACACCUUUCACAGAAAGAAUGGAACUGCUUUCCUCCUCCCCCCUCUUCCUUGAUUUUUUUUUUUUUUUUGCCUGACAUUAUAUCUUGGUCCCUAUCUCUGCAAACUCUGGGCUAUAGAGGUAAGACUGGGCUAGAGGUAGGAUGAGGGUCAUGGUGAUAAGGAGAGAGUUUAGUUCUGUAUCUCCUCUUCCCUUCUACUGCAGUGCAUUGCCCUCAGCUGUCAAAUCUGUAUUGCUGAAUUUCCAAGACUCAACUGAGCCUAGUAUUUUUUUUUUUUUCUUUUUAGGUUUGCUUAUUUAUUUUGAGAGAGAGAGAGCGAGGACAGCAGAGGGCCAGAGAGAGAAUCCCAAGCAAGCUGUCAGCAAGGAGCCUGCGCUGGGCUCGAACUCAUGAAUAGUGAGAUCAUGACCAGAGCUGAGAUCAAGAGUCCAACGCUUAAGGACUGAGCCACCCAGGCGCCCCUAGCCUAGUUUCUUGUUCCACUAUGCCAAGGCAGCACAGUGGUCUAGGGGCUGAUGGUUGGGUUUCCAUGGGCUAAAGGUCUAGUUUUUGUUUACCAGUUUGCAAAAGGGCCAGGUUCUGUAGUGAGAGCUGUAAAGUAAGAAACUAUAGGCCUGCAAGUUCCUCGAUGGCACAUAUGAGAUGCCCAGAACAUUUCUGUCCAAUAAACAGUAUGCCCUUGAUAAACAGACUGAACUUUGCAGUGUCCCAAAGAAGUUUAAGUGCCGCCUUGACAAGAUCCCCAGGGGCUUCUGAGCACCUCCUGGCCAGUAGUGUAUUCUGGGAUGUCAAAAUUACCUCUUACACAAUUACCUCCAAUGUAUUCUAGAUGUGAUCGUCUUUUUGAAAGAGAUCCAAGUUCAUUAUCAGUCACCUCAGAGCACCUGCAUUCGGGCCUUUAAGUGCAAGUAGGAUCCAGAAUCCUGGAAGUGUCAUUAAGUCUAUGAUCGAGGUCCAAGCGUUUAGUAACCCUAGGCAAGGUAACCCAGAGGCCUUGGACCUAAGGGCGGCCAUCGAAGCCUGAAAGUCUAAUCAGUGCUCGAGGCCAGCGGCCAUGUCCACCUGAGACUCAGGGGUGCAGAGCAUCAGGCACUGAAGAAGACGCCUCGGCUCCGGCUACGCAUGCGCGGGCGUCCAUAGAGGGCCCCGGUAAUCCAGGCUGCGCAUGCGCAAGAGCGGCUCCCGGCUAGUCCCGACGGCGGCGGCGGCUACUGAGGGGCCGGGGCGUGGAGUAGCGGUGGCGGCGGCGGGCAGCAACGGAGCAGCCAUGAGGGCCGGGCCCAGUCACCGACAGUGAGUGAUGGUGGAAGAGGGGUGGGCGGCCGGAGAGAAGAGGGGUGGCUUGGUGGAGGGAUACCUCGACUUGGUGGGGGGGGGGGUGGGCUCUGCCUGUCGGAGGCGAAGGGGCGUGGGGGAGGGACAGUUUGAGGUGAUGAUGGGAGAAUUUGGGGCAUUGGUGGCCGGAUCGCCAGCGCCAGGGCUGGACCGCUUGGCGGAGGGAAGGAGGUGAGUGCGGCAGGGUGUAGGAGCCCACGGCAGGGGCAGUGUCCCGCGCUUCCCCGUUUGUCAUCGUCCCUUCCCCCAGGAGCUUUCGGUCGCCUCUCCCUUUCCGCUUCUUUCAGAGAAUGGUCGCGGGGGGAGGGUGGUGGAGGAUGAAAGCCUUGCUGGAGCUGAAGAAGCUAACUCUGAUCCAGGCAGGGAAGGCCGGUCGCCUAGAGUCAUGGGCUUUUCUGGGCGGAGGAUGGGAGUCAGGAGCCCUCUGUUUAAAGCUGGGAGGGGUCUAGGGAAGAAAGCUAGGGGCUUAGAGUCUGACAGGUUCGAAACCACGUCCACCAUUGAUAAAGCUGAUAGAUAACCUUGGGCAGGUCCUACUUAACCUUUCUGAACCUCUGAAAGAUGUAGUGCUUCGGUGGGCUAUUGCAAGCAUCAAUGUACGUGAUUGAAAUUGUGUAUGAAAAUUGUAAAUUGUAGGUACUAUACCGAUGGUACUAUUGUCACCAACAAUAUUACUGGAUUUUAGACCUUACCGUUAUUAGUAGAGUGAUUGAUUUCUUUGUCAAGGCGAAGCAUAUUGUUUGUAAAACCUCAGUAGGCACAUAUGUGCGUUUUACGUAGGCACAGUAGAUCAUGUGCAAAAAUACCAGUUUGUGAUGUGACUAAUUAGCCAUCAGACUUGUGUAGGAAAAAUACCAUACUCUUGGGCAUUUUUACAAAUGGUGUGUAGCUCCUUACUCAAAAGGAAGAAAUAAGAGAACGGAGGGCCAAUCUGUUAAAUGCUUUGUGAACAUAGCUCACUCAGGUUCCUCGUCUUGUAUGUAACACAGUUGGUACUAAUGUGCUUUAUUAUGAGUCGAGAAAACUAGUUUGAGACAAGCUGGGAGGGCUGCACAAAGAGGGGUGUGCAAAUACAAUUUGCUGUUUUUAAAUUGUAUAAAAGUUUUCUUUUGCGAGGGAGUCUCUGGUUGCCCCAAGGGCCGUGUCUCCGUUUUGGAGGUCAGAUAAGCAUAUAGCAGCUUUGCAGCUCCACUUUUUGUUACGCUGCCUGUGGAACCUCCAGGGUGGAGUGUCUCUGAGAGAAAGACAGAAGCAGCUGUCCAAGAGGUGGCUGGUUCUUUUCUGAGAGGCUGAAGGAGCACUCCUGAGGCUUUGUUGCUGUUCUUGUUGUUAUUUAGGGUAGACAAAGCAGAGGACAGAGUUAAACUGUGUGCUUCUAGAGAGAGAAAAUGGCUUUCUAGCCACAGCUUUUGAAAGAGGUGAAACUUCUUUCAAAAGGACAGAAUGAGAUGGAUGCUUCAGCUUUGCUGGCCCUAAAGAUGAAGAGCUUGAAAUAGCGAGGCCUUUUGGAAAUUAGUGAGUGAUUUGUCUUUCAUCAGAGCAAAGGUAGGGAGUGGCUGUACUAGGUCCUUGAAGAUUCACAGAUAAGAACAGUGAAUUAUUUUAUAGGAAUGGGGGAAAUGAACCCUAGUUGUCAUUAACUUCUCCAUCUGGUAAAACGUAUUUUACCUCUUUUUCUUGGAAAUAUACAGUGAUAUAUCAUUUUUAAUUUUUUGCUCUAGUUCCUUGGCUCCCCAAUAACUGCCCAUAACUCCAAUUGUUCUUUUUUUUUUUAAUUUUUAAUGUUUAUUUUUUUAUUACAUUUAUUUAUUUUUGAGAGACAUAGAGCACAAGUGGGCGAGGGAAGAGAGAGAAGGAGACACAAAAUCUGAAGCAGGCUCCAGGCUCCGAGCUGUCGGUACGGAGCCCUAUGUGGGGCUCGAAUCCACGGACUGUGAGAUCAUAACCUGAGCCAAAGUUGGACACUUAACUCACUGAGCCACCCAGGUGCCUCCAACGAUUGUUCUUUUUUAGAGGAUAGUUUUGAAAGAAAGCGCUUGUGACUGUUGUCAUAGGGCAUUUACAGAAUACAAAUUUAUUUUGUCUUUCCUCACCAGAUGGAACCUGAAGUAGAGGUAUAAAAGUAGAGCUGGCUUAGUUGUCCUAUUUUAUUUUAAUAAUUGGACAUUUAUUUUUAAUUUUGUAACGUGUUUUUCCCUCUACUGAAAAUUUCCAUUGGUUCAAAUGAGUCCCUAAUGCCAUUCAUGUCAUGUUAAAAUAAUAGAGGCUUGUUCAGUUGUGAUGAGAAUUUCCUGUCCUCUCUAUUCUUUUUCCUAUUUGUGGUUAUUUUUAUGUGGUAGAUGACUUACCAAAUGGAGAGUCUUCCCUUGGGAGAGACGGCGUGGUCAGUGCCUUGAUUACCUGUUGUGGGAGCAGUCUAUCUAAAGUGGGGAUGUAAGGACUACUCAUGAAUCUCUGACACAGCAAGGGCUAAGAAAAAAAAAAGGAAUUAAAGGUUACUAGCUCAUUUUUAUUAUGAUAAAAUGAAUAAUUUUUUAAAAAGUAUCUUCUGCUUCAGAGGAAAACUUUUUUUUUUUAAUUUAUUUAUUUGUGUGUGUGUGGGGUGGGAGGGGGGUGGUGGUGGGGAGAGGGAGUCCCAAGCAGGCAGCACAGAGCCAGAUGCAGGACUUGAACCCACGAACCUGAGAUCAUGACCUGAGCCAAAAUCAGGAGUCAGACGCCCAACCGACUGAGCCACCCAGGUGCCCUCAGGGAAAACAUUUUAAAACAGUCUACUUAAAGACAACAUUAUGGUGUUAAAAAAAAUAAUAAAAAAUUAAAACAAAAUUAUGUGUUUUUACCUUUUUUUCUUUGAAUAUUUGCUUAUGAACAGAACCUUUGUUCCUUUAGAACCCUUUGGAUCUUGCCACCCAUUCCUUAACUGAAGUCUUUUGUGAUCUUUUCACAGCUGCUAAUAAUUGAGUACAAAGGUUUUUGUUGUUUAUGUUUUUGUUUUUUUGUCCUUUGUUUGGUUCUUGAUAGAGCGCUAAAAACUUUAAAAAAAGGGCUAUAUGGGAAGAUGUUGAAAAGUAAAAGAGAAGAGCAGAUUUAACUUAGUGAAUUUGUAGGUUGUUCUGAUGUUUGGAGGGUAAAGGAUUCAAGAAUGGAUAUAUGAUUCAGAGUAGCCUCCAGAGGCCAGGUUUUGCUUACCUGUGUUUAGCACAGUACAUAGUUGGCCUGGAGUAAUUGCUUGUUAAAUAUUUGCUGAAUGGAAAAAUGAUAAACAAUAUAAAACAUAAUCAGCAAAGAUGAGUUCAGAUCUUCUGGAACUUUGUGUAUCUUUGAAUGAGCUUCCCUAUGUUUCUUUACCUCAGUUUCUUCAUCUAUAAUAACUGUACUUCCUGCACAGGUUGUUGUGAGGGUUAAAUGUGCUUAAUACAUGUAAAAUGUUUACAAUACUACUUAAUACUUAGCAAAUGCUAAAUAAAUAACUAUCCAACUAGUGUUUGUUGGAUGCACCCUCUUUUUGUGCUCAAAUCUAUGCUGGUCAAAGAUGUUUGUCAUAUAGCCCCGACCCUCUCAGUUCACAGUUUGGCCUAGGAAACAGAUGUAUACAAAGUAAUUAUUAUAGAAUGUAAUACUUUAUUUCAUCAGCUCUGUGUUGCUAAUUGUAAGGCUCACAAUUACUUUACAUGCAAGGAAGAAAGAAGAAAUGUUAAGAAAGACUGGCAUGCUAUCAGUUGUAAGAUAUAUCCUAUUUUCAGAGAAAUGUGGAGGGGAAGGUAUGUCUUACGAUUGAUAAAAUACAUUAAGCGCUCUACUAGAGGGAGGUACAACUUGUGAGAGUUGAUGGAUGGCUGGGUACAGGUAUUGUCAGUAAAGACCCUUUGCAUAACAUGCAUGAUACACCCUCAUAGAUGGACGAGGAAGAUAGGGCAUUACAAGCAGACAGUAAAGUCUGAAAAUGUGAAGGGGAGGGCAUUAUUGAUGUGUACCACCAUAUCAGGACAAGCAGGAGAAGGAAAUGAGCUAAGUAUUUGGCAGAGUAACAUUGUAUAAUGCAGCAGAGCAGGACAGGAAGCUUGGAACAUUUUCAGAAAAGACAUGAGCCUCAUUCUUGAAUUUCAACUCCUAAAAUGUAAUAGCAACUCCAAAAAGAUGAUACUAAUAUAAUAAAGUGGAAAGUGAGAGUAGUGUGAGAAGCAAAGUGGCCAGGGGAAGGGUUGAAGCUUCACAGCUGACCGAGUGGGGAUAAGUGUGAAGUCACUGUGCUCAUGGUGAGAGGUGAAUGCUUUCUCAGCAGAGAAGUGUUUAGUAUCUAUUUCUGUCUUUUCACUGCCUAUCAAGGUCUUGGUUAUGUCCCUUUUAGAGCUUUGUAACUUAGAGUGAAAGGAAGUACAACUCAAGUGGAAAAAUGCUCAAUUUUCUUUAUGAAAAAUGUAUUUAUUUUUAUUUUAUUAUUUAUUAAAAAUUUUUUUAAUGUUUAUUUUUGACAGAGAGAGAGAGAGAGAGACAGAGCUUGAGUGGGGGAGGGGCAGAGAGAGAGGGAGACACAGAAUCCGAAGCAGGCUCCAGGCUCUGAGCUGUCAGCACAGAACCUAAUGUGGGGCUCGAACUCACAAACUAUGAGAUCAUGACCUGAGCCGAAGUUGGACGCUCAACUGACUGAGCCACCCAGGCGCCCCUAUUAUUUAUUUAUUUUUAAGUAUCAUUUAUUUAAUCUCUGCUCCCAACAUGGAGCUUGAACUCAUGACCCUGAGAUCAAGAGUCUCAUGCUCUUCCAACUGAGUCAGCCACGUACCCCUAAAAAUCCAUUUACUACAAGGAGGAUAAUAAAUUACCAGAAUUAAGGUUCAGUUAUCAAAUGAUGGCUUAGUAUUAUAGCACUGGAUUGUACUGUUUCAUGGGAAAAUAUAGGUCAUUUAAGGAGGGAUUUAAAAAACUCAGUUACUAAUUUUCUUUUUUUUUUAAGUUUUUAAGUUUAUUAUUAUUUUUUUAGCAUUUAUUUAUUUUUGAGAGACACAGCGUGAGCGGGUUGGGGCAGAGAGAGAGGGAGACACAGAAUCUGAAGCAAGCUUCAGGGUCCAAGCUGUCAGCACAGAACCCGACAUAGGACUUGAAUCCACGAACUGUGAGAUUGUGACCUGAGCCGAAGUCAGACACUUAACCAGCUGAGCCACCCAGGUGCCCCAAGACUCAGUUACUAAUUUUCUGGCAACCAGCCCUGAAGCUAGUGGGAGAAAGUAUGAAAAACUAGAAAUAGCAUAAGCACAAAUUUGUCUAGUGUUUUUUCUUUUCAUCAGUAAACCAAAGCUAGGUUUGACUCUCUUAAGCUUUUUGGUCUCUGGUCUCAUUAGAAAAUGAGUUGGUCCUUUCAGCAAUCAGUCAGCAGACAUUUAAGUGCCUAUUGUGUGUUAGGAAUUGUGCUAGGCACUGAAAUUAAAAUAUGAAUGACAUAAUCUUUGUAAGGAGUGCACUUUUAUUUUUUUAGCUUUUUUAAUUUAGAGAGAGUGUGUUUCCAUGCAAGUUGGGGAGAGGGGGAGGGGCUGAGAGAGAAUUUUUUUUUUUUUUAAGAAUUUUUAAGUUUAUUUUGAAAGAGUGAAAGAUGGGGGGAGGGGCAGAGAGAGGGAGGGAGGGAAUCCCAAGCAGGCUCCAUACUGUCAGUAUGGAGCCCGAUGUGGGGCUCAGACUCAGGAACCAUGAGAUCAUGACCUCAGCCGAGGUCAAGAGUCAGACAGUUUAACUGACUGGGCCACCCAGGUGCCCCAGGAAAGAGAGAAUCUUAAGCAGGCUGCAUGCUUAGCGCAGAGCUGGACGCAGGGCUGGAUCCCAUGAUCCUGGGAUCAUGACCUGAGCCAGAAUCAAGAGUUGGACGCUCAACUGACUGAGCCACCCAUGUGCCCCUGAACUUUUUUUUUUUUUUAAGUUUAUUUAUGUAUUUUGAGAGAGAGAGGGAGGGAGAGAAUCCCAAGCAGGCUCCAGGCUGUCAGCACAGAGCCAGAUGCAGGGCUCGAACUCACUAACCGUGAGAUCAUGACCCGAGCUGAAACCGAGUCAGAUGCUUAACUGACUGAGCCACCCAGGUGCAUUCUUUUUUUUUAAUUUUAUUUUUAUUUAUUUUUUUAAGUAGCGUCUAUGCUCAUCACUCAUCAUGGGGUUUGAACUCAUGAUGCCAAGAUCGAGUUGCAUGCGAGACAGGCACCCCUAAAGAAUGCACAUUUAAAAAAAAGAUUUCAUUUAAUUUGUUUAUGUAUUUAUUUAAAGUUUAUUUUUUUAGUAAUCUCUAUACCCAACCUGGGGCUCAAACUCACAACCCUGAGAUCAAGAGUUGCAUGCUUUACCAACUAAACCAUCCAGGUGUCCCAAGAGUACACAUUUUGUUUUUUUAAUAUUAUUUUUGAGAGAGAGAGAGGGAGAGAGUGUGUACAUGUGUGUGCACAUGGGGAAGGGACAGAGAGAAGACAUAGAAUCCAACACAGGGUCCAGACUCUGAGCCGUCAGCACAGAGCCCGACGGCCUCAAACCCUGAACAGCAAGAUGAUGACAUGAGCCGAAGUGGAUGCUUAACCGACUGAGCUAUCCAGGCACCCCAAGAAUGCACAUUUUAAUUGGAGACUAACACAAAUAAUUAUGAAUUAGUACAGUAAGUGCAAUCAUAGAGAUCUGUACUAAGUGCUGUGGGAGCACAGGUUCUGUGUGGUGGGGUGAGGGGAAGGUUGGACAAAGCUUGCUAGAGAAGGAGUCAGUUGGGUCUUAAAGGAUGAAUAUAAUUUGGCUAUCUCAACAAAAAAAGAUUGGAGAGGGUAGUGUUUCAAAUACAGAGAACAGCUUGCACAAGGUAGAGAGUAUAUGAGUAUGGACCUGUGGGCCAGUGGUUUAAUGUGGCUAGAUCACGGGGCAUGAGGAAGAAAUGGAAGGAAGUGAGGUGAAAGAUGAGUUGGAGCCCAGUUGUAGAUGGCCUUGGUGAGGGGUCUGAAUUUUACUUUGUAAGAUAAAAUGCCAGGGAGUCAUGGGAGAGUUUUGUUUGUUUGUUUGUUUAAGUCAUGGGAGAGUUUUGAGUCAGGUAAGGAGCAAGUUUGGAUCACUGUUUAAGAAAAGUAACACUGUUGGCAGUAUGGAAGUUAGAUUUUUUUUUUUUAAUGUUUAUUCAUUUUUGAAAGACAGAGAGAAACAGAGCACAAGCAGGGGUGGGGUGGUGAGAAAGGGGG